UACCAGCACCCCGAGUGGUCGGGACGAUUAUUGGGCCUAAAGCAUCCGUAGCCGGUUCUACAAGUCUUCCGUUAAAUCCACCUGCUUAACAGAUGGGCUGCGGAAGAUACUAUAGAGCUAGGAGGCGGGAGAGGCAAGCGGUACUCGAUGGGUAGGGGUAAAAUCCGUUGAUCCAUUGAAGACCACCAGUGGCGAAGGCGGCAUCCUGGACCAAUAUUGACGCUGAGGAGCGAAAGCCAGGGGAGCAAACGGG
rnacentral:rRNA from 1 species